ensembl:lncRNA
UUAUAAAUCAGUCUCUUCUUUUACUCCUUGGAGAAUGCUUCCAAGGCCAAGCUGAGAUCCAGGAACAUUUCAUAAGAUUGCUGAAGGUCCCUUUGGCUUAGAUUUGCCAAGAAUGAUUUCUCAGGUCUUACUACUCCCUUUCUUCUUCUGCUGGAUUUAGAUAAAUCUCUUUCUUAACUGGGCUGGAGGGGAAGAGGUGGGGAUAAGAAGAGUUAACACCUACUCUCAGUGGCAUCCUGAAAUCAAACAAGCUCAUGAGCGCCAACUGUUAAAUAUUCAGGAAUUGUGCAAGCACUUAGAUUUGAUCUCCGUACUUGACAUCAGCUGUAGUGUAAGUAUUUAUAUCAUGGGAAUCAAUAAAUGCCACAAGUUAAGGCUUCCUCUCCUCUUCCUCCAUAGAAGGCCAGCUGUUAAACAUCUGUCUGCACUCCACUGCCUUCUCUCCUUUCUCAAGCACCCUUUCAGCUUCUGGUUAAGAUUUAAAAGGCCAAUCUCUAUGCACUGUCACCUUUUGAAGAAUUUGAUAUCUUCAGAUUGUUACAAACACGAGAGACACAAAUGUCAAAAUCUUGACAUUGCCCUUGAUUUCAAGGCCCCAACACCUUCUAAACCAACCCUGGUAAUUUAUGUCCACUCCUGGCACCCCAAUCCACCUCAUAAAUCCUCCGUGACUCUGUCUGGGUGUAAGAAAGUCUGAAAAAGGAGAAUGGUGAAGAGAGAGAAAAAAGCUGGAGAGUCCUGUGAAGUAUUAAGGACUAUCGGUGAUGGACAGGGAGGCCUGGCAUGCUGCGAUUCAUGGGGUCGCAAAGAUUCAGACACGACUGAGUGACUGAACUGAACUGAACUGAGAGGUUAACUUCCCUGGUGGCUCAGCAGUAAAAGAAUCUGCCUGGAACAUAGGAGACCUGGGUUCGAUCUCUGGGUCGGGAAGAUCCCCUGGAGGAGGGCAUGACAAUCCACUCCAGUACUCCUGCCUAGAGAAUCCUGUGGACAGAGGAGCCUGGCAGAUUGCAGUCCAUGGGGUCACAAAGAGUUGGACACGACUGAAGCAACUAGAGGUCAGCACAAUAAAAUGAACUUAACACUAGUUCUUAUGAUUAUUUUUUUGCCUCCUACCAUUAGCAGCUGGGUCCAGGCAGAGUUGCGGGGGAAGGUUAAAUUUUUAACCAGGGUUUGGAUUUUGCCAAAGUUUCUAACCUUGCAAUACUGGGUCAAGGGAACUGAGUGCACACAACUGUUUAGCGUGAGUGUGAUAACUGUAAUCACUGUUUACAAGUUAUGACAUCAUUGUCCUUGUAUUUGUCAUUGCCCCAAAGCAACAUCCAUUUCAGAUGAUUUGUGUCUAUGCCCCCAAACUGAAGUCAUCCUGCCACUUGCAAAUUAAAUGUCUCUUUUUGUGGGAAGUGAGGAGGCUAGUGGUGUUUGUGCUAGCAGUGAACACUGAAUUUGUUCGUAACUUUAUGUAUGUAACCUACACAAAUAAACUUUCACCAAUAAAUCUCACAUUUUCACAUAAAAAAUAAGGGUGCUACUGUGAAGGACUUUUAGGUAAGGGUUGGGCCCUUUAGUCAAGGUGUCAUAACUGUUCUCUAGCAAACUUCUUGGUAGAGAGCGGCAAGCAGUCAGCACUCAAAGUCAGUGGAAAUAUCAAUCUCAUCCUUUAUUUCACAAAACACAGAUUUGUUUUAACUGCAAAGAAAAUAAACAACUCAAAUAAACAGGCUUAGACAAUGCCACCUUUUGUGUUUGAAGACAUUGCUACUCUAGAUAAUUUAGAUAGAGGUCACCCCAAUGGUUAAAUCAUCGUCAAUUUUCUCUUUAAAGUUCCAAUUGCUCCUCAUUAGGAACUUCCACUAAUAAGCUCUCUUAGCCAGACAUCUAUUGACUCUAGCUCCUCAAAAGUGGCCCUCACUAGCCCACUGGCAAAAUAAACACCAAAUGCAAAACACUUUUAAUCUAUGAAAUGGGGAGGGCCAUUUCUCAAACAUUUUAUUACUCAAAAGUAAUUUCAGUUUUCAGAGUUAAAUCUACUAAUGCAUGAAAGAGCAGGAAAAGAUUUUAAAAACUGAAAGAACAUAUGAUCUGAUUUUUAUCAAUUGAAAGAUGAAUUGAGAGAAGGAGGCAAAUG